rnacentral:rRNA from 1 species
GAUGAACGCUGGCGGCGUGCCUAAUACAUGCAAGUCGAGCGAACAGACGAGGAGCUUGCUCCUCUGACGUUAGCGGCGGACGGGUGAGUAACACGUGGAUAACCUACCUAUAAGACUGGGAUAACUUCGGGAAACCGGAGCUAAUACCGGAUAAUAUAUUGAACCGCAUGGUUCAAUAGUGAAAGACGGUUUUGCUGUCACUUAUAGAUGGAUCCGCGCCGCAUUAGCUAGUUGGUAAGGUAACGGCUUACCAAGGCAACGAUGCGUAGCCGACCUGAGAGGGGGCUGGGCCACUCGGAACGUGAGACACGCCCAAAGCCCCAGGGGGGGGGCAGAGGGGGAAAUUUGGCGAAGGGGGAGAAAGCGUGAGGGAAAAACGCCGCGGGGGUAGAAGGGUUCUGCAGCUGAAAAAACUGUUUUUUUAGGAGAAAACAAAUGUGAAAGUAACGAUCCACGUGUGAAGGGAACUAAAAAGAAAGGCCCGGGCAACUUCGUG